ACCAAUUCUAGAGGAUUAUUGGUUCCUCCUGAUGUAAUGGCUCGGACGCUACAUUGACCUAUGUGGCCAUCCUGAUCAAUGGAUACUCAAUGCCAUUGGAUCCUGGAAACACCCCAUACAUUU
rfam:Prunus persica cultivar Lovell chromosome G3, whole genome shotgun sequence.